ACGGGAGGCAGCAGUAGGGAAUAUUGCACAAUGGGGGGAACCCUGACGCAGCAACGCCACGUGUGGGAAGAAGCAUUUCGGUGUGUAGACCACUGUCGUGAGGGAAUAAUGCUUGGUCUCGGCCAAGUUGAAUGUACCUCGAAAGGAAGCACCGGCAAGCUUCGUGCCAGCAGCCGCGGUAAUACGAGGGGUGCAAGCGUUGUUCGGAAUCACUGGGCGUAAAGGGAGCGUAGGCGGAGACGCAAGCAGUCUGUACAAUACCGGGGCCCAACCCCGGACCUGCAGACUGGACUGUGUCUCUUGGAUAGUUCAGGGGCAGGCGGAAUUCCUGGUGUAGCGGUGGAAUGCGUAGAGAUCAGGAAGAACACCGAUGGCGAAGGCAGCCUGCUGGGGACUCAUCGACGCUGAGGCUCGAAAGUGCGGGUAGCAAACAGGAUUAGAUACCCUGGUA
rnacentral:rRNA from 1 species